rnacentral:antisense_RNA from 1 species
UCUCGGCUCUCCCUUAUCUCUCCGGCACGGUUUCUGACUAUCUCUUGCUCACGGUGUCUCCCCGCCCUUCCCUCCGCAAGCUGGGGGCCAAUUCCGCGAGAGGACAAAUUAGUAAAAGGCAGAGCAGUCCCCGGGGAGGGACCAGCGCGGGGGGGUGGGGGGGCGCUGGGGCGCGGCGGAAGGCCACCGCGGGGAGCGGAGGGGGAGGGCCGGGCAGGGGGUAUUUUUAACCAGGGGCAGCAGCUCGAGUUGCAGGGCCGGACGGCCGCACCCCACGCGCGCCCCGGCGGGCAUUCCCGGGCGAUCGGGCGGCGGCACCGCCUCCCGCAGCCCCGGGCCCGCCCCGUCCCCAGCUCCCCUCGCUCCGCGCGGCCGCAGCUGCUCCCGCCGCUCCCAGCCCGCUCCGGCGCGGGGCCGAGAUUACCUCGGGCUGCGGCAGCUGCUCUGAGGAGGGGCCGGGCUGGCAGCCAGCAGACCCCUGCCGGACACUCAGCAAACGGCAGCCUCACCCCGCAGGGCCGCGCCGCUCCCGCCCCCGCCCCCACCCCACCGCCGCGCCCCGGCUCAGCGCUUCCCGGGGAACGCAGGGGGACCGGGCUCGCAGCGUGACCUUGGGCUCUCAGCCCACCCACCUGGAAGCGCACAUGUGUCACCUUACCCAGGAGAGGGCGGCAGAGGCUGCGAGCAGGACGGCAGCCCCCACUCCCCACCCCCAGGACUCUGAGAUCCUGGUUCACGGGCUGCAAGAAAUUGGGGGGCCAGGAUUCGGCGCGGAGGCCGGGGGUGUGGGUGGGGAGACUGCAGAGACUCCCGAGACUCCCCCAAGUCAGGGCUUUUCGCUGGUCUCGCAGCCCCAGCCCAGCAGCUGCUGCAGCCUUGCAGGUUGUGGAUGCAGGCAUUUUGCUGAGGAAACUGCAUAGCGUUUCCAGGACUCUAGGGCCUACGACCCCUCAAAAGUUAAGAGCCGCUGAUCUAAUCUAACCCCACUUUCACCGUCAGUUAACAAAAGAGGAAAACUGAGGCCUGAGAGGGUGUGACUUGCCUGAACUCCCUAACCUGGUGAAUGAUGGGUGGAACCAGCUCCUGGCUUUCUGCGCAGGUGUCCAGGGACAGAGAACGGUGGUUUAAACUAGGGAGGUGGCAGGCAGAAGUAGAUGGAUUUGAUAACUAUUUAGGAUACACCAUCAAAAUUUAACUCAAACUGGUUUACACACCUAAAUAUAAAUGGCCAAACCAUAAAACUUUUUUUUAAAAAAAUGGAGAUAAUCUUAACAAUAUUGGGUUUAGAAAAGAUUUCUUUUUUAUUUUCUAAAGGCAGGGUCUUGCUUUCAUUGACCAGGUAGGAGUGCAGUGCCCUGAUCACAGCUCACUGUAACCUUAAACUCCUGGGCUCAAGAGAUCCUCUCACCUCAGCCUCCUGAGUAGCUGAGACUACAGGCACGUGCCACGACACCCAGCUAAUUUUUAAAUUUUUUUGUAGAAAUGGGGUCCUGCUGUGUUACUCAGGCUGGUCAUGAACUCCUGGGCUCAAGCAGUCCUCCUACCUGAGCCUCCCAAAGUGCUGGGAUUACAGGUGUGAGUUUUGGCACCUGGCCAGAUUUCUUAAAUAUGACACAGAAAGUGUAAAUGAUAGAGGAAAUCAAUAAAUUGAACUUCAUCAAAAUAAAA